AGAGUUUGAUCAUGGCUCAGGACGAACGCUGGCGGCAGGCUUAACACAUGCAAGUCGAACGAUCCUUCGGGAUAGUGGCAGACGGGUGCGUAACACGUGGGAACCUACCCUAAGGUACGGAAUAACUCAGGGAAACUUGUGCUAAUACCGUAUAUGUCUUCGGAUGAAAGAUUUAUCGCCUUAGGAUGGGCCCGCGGCAGAUUAGGUAGUUGGUGAGGUAAAAGCUCACCAAGCCGACGAUCUGUAGCUGGUCUGAGAGGAUGAUCAGCCACACUGGAACUGAGACACGGUCCAGACUCCUACGGGAGGCAGCAGUGAGGAAUAUUGGACAAUGGGGGCAACCCUGAUCCAGCCAUGCCGCGUGAGUGAUGAAGGCCUUAGGGUUGUAAAACUCUUUCGCUAGUGAAGAUAAUGACGGUAACUAGUAAAGAAGCCCCGGCUAAUUUCGUGCCAGCAGCCGCGGUAAUACGAAAGGGGCUAGCGUUGUUCGGAAUUACUGGGCGUAAAGCGCGCGUAGGCGGACCAUCAAGUUGGGGGUGAAAUCCCGGGGCUCAACCCCGGAACUGCCUCCAAAACUGCUGGUC
rnacentral:rRNA from 1 species